rnacentral:lncRNA from 1 species
GCUCCCAGCGUGGUCGGGUGAAGCAUCAAGAAGAUGCCGGAACUCCACCAAUUCCUGAUGGAGCGCUGGGCACUGUACCAUAACCUGGAGUAUGAUUCCUCGGAGGAGAAGGAGCCCCGUCUGAUCUUCUACGAUGACAGGGACGAGGUGGUGCAGUCGGUCCCUGUGAAAGAGAUGACAGCGGACGCCAUCGGCCAGCUGCUGGAGGCCCGCGGAUUCUACAGGAGGAGCCAGAAGGGAGAGGAGGUUCCCGAGGAGUUCCAGAACUUCCCCCUGCACGCCCCCAGAGACGAGCUCUGAGGACCCCUAGUGGCCGCGGACCGCUGCUGCAGCCCUGUCGCUUAAUGACGAGUGGGGCUCCAAGGCUCAACUGUCAGCCCGGCCCCACUCCGAUAACCCCUCGACAGGCUGCGCAGUCCGAACUCCGUCCCCCACCUCAAAAAUAUAAAUUGUGAAAAAUAUGUGGUGUUAUGAUAAUAAAUAUUUGAAUUGGCUCCAUUGAAAGAAUGUUUUUUUUUCCAAUUUCCAAUAUAGGCUCAUUAUCCCGAUGCUACUAUUGUUAAGAGAUUUUUAUAAAAACAAUAAAUAUGGGGACAAAAUAUAAAGAGGAAUUUUGGGGGCCCCCAAAAGGCCUAUUAGGCCUGGGGCUCCAGGCAAUGCCUGGUUUGCCUAAUAGUACGGCCCGCCUCUGCAUGCCUAUAUCUUACACCUUUCCUUCUCUUUGGCUCCCAGACCGUAGUCGGGGAGAACAGGGGACACGUUCCCCCCAGGGCCGAUGUCCUUUCGGGUGUAACACCCUUCACGAAGGAGCAAGAAGCAACGGACCGUAGGCUACUAAUCGCCCUAUCCAUUGUAUGGGUCUGUAAAAUGCUAAUCUAAUCUAAUCAAAUCAAAUGUAUUUAUUAAGCACCUUUAAUAAAAAGGGAAUUGGUUG